rnacentral:rRNA from 1 species
AAAUUGUUGAAAGGGAAGCGCUUGUGACCAGACUUGUGCCGGGCGGCUCAUCAGGGGUUCUCCCCUGUGCACUCCGCCCGGCUCAGGCCAGCAUCGGUUCUCGUGGGGGGAUAAGAACGGUAGGAACGUGGCCCUCCUUCGGGGGGGUGUUAUAGCCUACCGUACGAUACCCUCGUGGGGACCGAGGUUCGCGCUCCGCAAGGAUGCUGGCGUAAUGGUCAUCAGCGACCCGUCUUGAAACACGGACCAAGGAGUCGUCCAUUAGAGCGAGCGUUUGGGUGUAAAACCCGCACGCGUAAUGAAAGUGAACGCAGGUGAGAGCUUCGGCGCAUCAUCGACCGAUCCUGAUGUCUUCGGAUGGAUUUGAGUAAGAGUUUUAACGGACGGACCCGAAAGACAGUGAACUAUGCUUGUAUAGGGUGAAGCCAGAGGAAACUCUGGUGGAGGCUCGCAGCGGUUCUGACGUGCAAAUCGAU